ACUUCCUCUUAUAUUCUUCUCUCAACGUUCAAAGCAAUCGAAACCACAAUCAUAUUGUUUUUCUUUAUUUGAUCAGAAAAAUCUCAAAGCUUCUCUGUUUCAUUUUUAAUUACCAACGCUUUGCCUGUUUUUUUUUUUUCCAGUUUUCUUCUUUCAGUAAAUCUGCAUUUCAUUUUAUUUUUUUCGAAUUCAUUUUGGCAGUAUAAUUCUUAUCUAGAUUACCCUAAUAUCAAUCGUCAAUGGCUCCUCAAAUCAAAGAUGCGCACAUUGUAGAAAUCAAAGUAGACGAAGAGCACCAGAACAAACUCUUAUCUGCCAUGAGCACAAUCUCGACGGCAAUGCAUCAUCACCCACUAAUGGAAAUCUCCGAGAGCCCCGGCCAUCUCUUGCUUCUCAAGCUCUGGCAAAGAGAAGAGGACCUUUUUGGCCGGCGCAUCGCUCUCAAACAAACUAGAUUGGACUCGAUAAAAAGAGAGCUUUUUCAGCUGUGCUGUUUCUUCUUCAUCUUUCAUGGGUUUUUCUUUACCAUUUUGUUUACCUCUUCGGUUAACUCCCAAGAGCAUAAACAGACUUGCAAGAAAUGGUGGAUACCUGGUCUAUUAUCUGUCUCUACCUCGCUUGUUCUUGUGUUCUUCGUCCAGGUGAAACUUUGCAGGUAUUGGAAGGUGUCGAGGCAGUUGCAGAGGGAGAGAAACGAUGGGCGAUCGCUCACGAGGUGCAUUCAGGAACUAAGGAUGAAAGGAGCUAGCUUUGAUUUGUCGAAGGAGCCACAGAGUGGGAAGAGGAUGAAAAGCUCGAGCGUGGAGAUGAAAUGGAAGCCGAUUAAUUGGUGUUCUCGGAAUCUGGUGACCUUAGCUCUUGUUUGCUUUGCAGGUUUGGGGCUUCCGGCUAGCAAGCUCAUCCUCUGCGGCUUCUGAUCGUGGGAAUUGUUUAAUUUAGUGGGCUUCUCUGUCACAGCGUCACGUUUCUGCAGACGGGUGAUCUUGAAGAAUGUAACGCGAAAUAGGUUGAAUUUGACAGCAUCAAAGUACUUUCGAACAUUUCGUCAAUGUGAAGAGACGGGUGGGUAAUGGCAGAAAUUGAUCUCUUCCAGGGGAUGAAGCAUCUUCGGUCCGAUCGAUAAUUAUGUUUCUACACUCACUAGAACAAGCAAUUUACGCAAGCGUUGGAGGUUGUGAUUACGUGUCGGCUGAAAGUUGGAAGAAAUUUAUUGGAUUUUUCCCAUCUCUGAUCUGAACUUGGGCUUCCUGUUUUUUACACGAUAGAUGCCUGAUUGUGGGAGUAGGGAGGUUAUUUGCAAGUGGUAGAAGCAAAUUCAAAAGACCUUGUUUCGAUCGUUUGCCCUGAUCGCUGGAUUCUUUCUACAAUAAUAAUUGUAAAAAGAAAAAAGAAAAAAAUGGCAGCACAUAGCAUAGGAUAGGAUAGGGAUAGGAGGAUCUGAUCUUGGCUCCCUCCCAAUGAAGAAGCAACACUGCCUGUGUUGUAUUCUU